rnacentral:rRNA from 1 species
GACGAACGCUGGCGGCGUGCUUAACACAUGCAAGUCGAACGGAAAGGCCCUGCUUUUGUGGGGUGCUCGAGUGGCGAACGGGUGAGUCACACGUGAGUAACCUGCCCUUGACUUUGGGAUAACUUCAGGAAACUGGGGCUAAUACCGGAUCGGAGCUCCUGCUGCAUGGUGGGGGUUGGAAUGUUUCGGCGGUUGGGGAUGGACUCGCGGCUUAUCAGCUUGUUGGUGGGGUAGUGGCUUACCAAGGCUUUGACGGGUAGCCGGCCUGAGAGGGUGACCGGCGACAUUGGGACUGAGAUACGGCCCAGACGGCAACGUGAGGCAGCAGUGGGGAAUAUGGCACAGUGAGCGGAAGCGUAAGGCAGCAACGCCGCGUGCGGGAUGACGUCCUUCGGGUUGUGAACCGCUUUCGCCUGUGACGAAGCGUGAGUGACGGUAAUGGGUAAAUAAGCACCGGCUAACUACGUG